rnacentral:rRNA from 1 species
UUCCGGUUGAUCCCGCCGGACCUGACUGCUAUCGGAUUGAUACUAAGCCAUGCGAGUCUUUGUAGCAAUACAAGGCAGACGGCUCAGUAACGCGUAGUCAACCUACCCUAUGGACGGGAAUAACCUCGGGAAACUGAGUAUAAUGCCCGAUAGAACACUAUACCUGGAAGGGUUUGUGUUCCAAAUGAUUUAUCGCCGUAGGAUGGGACUGCGGCCUAUCAGUUUGUUGGUGAGGUAAUGGCCCACCAAGACUAUUACAGGUACGGGCUCUGAGAGGAGUGGCCCGGAGAUGGGUACUGAGACACGGACCCAGGCCCUAUGGGGCGCAGCAGGCGAGAAAACUUUGCAAUGUGCGAAAGCACGACAAGGUUGAUCCGAGUGAUUUGUGCUAAACGAAUCUUUUGUUAGUCAUAGAACCACUAACGAAUAAGGGGUGGGCAAGUUCUGGUGUCAGCCGCCGCGGUAAAACCAGCACCUCAAGUGGUCAGGAUGAUUAUUGGGCCUAAAGCAUCCGUAGCCGGCUCUGUAAGUUUUCGGUUAAAUCUGUACGCUCAACGUACAGGCUGCCGGGAAUACUGCAGAGCUAGGGAGUGGGAGAGGUAGACGGUACUCGGUAGGAAGGGGUAAAAUCCUUUGAUCUAUUGAUGACCACCUGUGGCGAAGGCGGUCUACCAGAACACGUCCGACGGUGAGGGAUGAAAGCUGGGGGAGCAAACCGGAUUAGAUACCCGGGUAGUCCCAGCUGUAAACUAUGCAAACUCAGUGAUGCAUUGACUUGUGGUCAAUGCAGUGCUGCAGGGAAGCCGUUAAGUUUGCCGCCUGGGAAGUACGUACGCAAGUAUGAAACUUAAAGGAAUUGGCGGGGGAGCACCACAAGGGGUGAAGCCUGCGGUUCAAUUGGAUUCAACGCCGGG